GGCGGCAGGCUUAACACAUGCAAGUCGAGCGCCCAGCAAUGGGAGCGGCGGACGGGUGAAUAACGCGUGGGAAUAUGCCCUUUGGUACGGAACAACUCAGGGAAACUUGAGCUAAUACCGUAUGAGCCGGUAACGGGAAAGAUUUAUCGCCAAAGGAUUAGCCCGCGUCCGAUUAGCUAGUUGGUGAGGUAAUGGCUCACCAAGGCACCGAUCGGUAGCUGGUCUGAGAGGACGACCAGCCACACUGGGACUGAGACACGGCCCAGACUCCUACGGGAGGCAGCAGUGGGGAAUCUUGGACAAUGGAGGAAACUCUGAUCCAGCCAUGCCGCGUGAGUGAUGAAGGCCUUAGGGUUGUNAAACUCUUUCGGCGGGGACGAUAAUGACGGUACCCGCAGAAGAAGCUCCGGCUAACUUCGUGCCAGCAGCCGCGGUAAUACGAAGGGGGCUAGCGUUGUUCGGAAUUACUGGGCGUAAAGCGCGCGCAGGCGGCCUUUCAAGUCAGGGGUGAAAGCCCGGAGCUCAACUCCGGAAUUGCCUUUGAAACUGCAAGGCUUGA
rnacentral:rRNA from 1 species